rnacentral:rRNA from 1 species
UACGUAGGGAGCAAGCGUUGUCCGGAAUCAUUGGGCGUAAAGCGCGCGUAGGCGGCCUCAUAAGUCCGUUGUGAAAGUCAAAGGCUCAACCUUUGAAAGCCGAUGGAUACUGUGAGGCUAGAGUCCGGAAGAGGCGAGUGGAAUUCUUGGUGUAGCGGUGAAAUGCGUAGAUAUCAAGAGGAACACCUGCGGCGAAGGCGGGUUGCUGGGCUGACACUGACGCUGAGGCGCGAAAGCUAGGGGAGCGAACGGG